rnacentral:rRNA from 1 species
AACGAACGCUGGCGGCAGGCUUAACACAUGCAAGUCGAACGCCCCGCAAGGGGAGUGGCAGACGGGUGAGUAACGCGUGGGAAUCUACCGUACCCUACGGAACAACAGUUGGAAACGACUGCUAAUACCGUAUACGCCCUACGGGGGAAAGAUUUAUCGGGGUAUGAUGAGCCCGCGUUGAAUUAGCUAGUUGGUGGGGUAAAGGCCUACCAAGGCGACGAUCCAUAGCUGGUCUGAGAGGAUGACCAGCCACACUGGGACUGAGACACGGCCCAGACUCCUACGGGAGGCAGCAGUGGGGAAUAUUGGACAAUGGGCGCAAGCCUGAUCCAGCCAUGCCGCGUGAGUGAUGAAGGCCUUAGGGUUGUAAAGCUCUUUCGCCAGGGACGAUAAUGACGGUACCUGGAUAAGAAGCCCCGGCUAACUUCGUGCCAGCAGCCGCAGUAA